CUGCUACAUCACCAGAAUCGUUGGUCUGAUUGGUUGAAUAGCAUUUGAACGGUGGCUAUUGGUGACGCCCCUUUGGAAAUGACCUGUGAAUGAACCUUGCCCAGACCCACUCUCAGUUACAACUGAGAAGGGUUUUGUGUCAACCAGGCUAGCUUUACAAUCUUACCUACUGCAUCUUUAA